GUUAUUUGGCCUAACACAUAAACUAAAAUUGGAACAAUAAAGAGAAGAUUAGCAUGGCUUCUGCACAAGGAUGACACGCAAAUUCAUGAAGCUUACCUCAAUGUU